AAUGAACGCUGGCGGCAGGCUUGACACAUGCAAGUCGAACGAGUGGCGGACGGGUGUGUAACAUUUAGGAAUCUGCUUAGUAGCGGGGUAUAGCUUGGGGUAACUCCACUUAAUACCCCAUACUAUUAGAUGAGCCUUAGUCAGGUUAGCUCGUUGGUGGGGUAAGGGCUCACCAAGGUGACGAUCUGUAGCUGGUCUGAGAGGAUGAUCAGUCACACCGGAACUGAGACACGGUCCGGACUCCUACGGGAGGCAGCAGUGGGGAAUAUUGGACAAUGGGGGCAACCUGAUACAGCCAUGCCGCGUGUGUGAAGAAGGCCUUUGGGUUGUAAAGCACUUUAAGCAGGGAGGCGUUACCUGCAGAAUAAGCACCGGCUAACUCUGUGCCAGCAGCCGCGGUAAUUC
rnacentral:rRNA from 1 species